AUCGCAUUUGGGAGAUCUAAGGAAAAAUUUUAUCUUAAAGAUUGCUCUCGAUGAACUCACAAGUGUAGGUAGUGUGCUACAUGAGGGGCAAGUUUUUCGCUAACAUCACAAGGGUCUCUGGCCCAAUGAGUGGAGUUUGAUAGCAAUACUUGCUACAAAU
rnacentral:snoRNA from 1 species